rnacentral:rRNA from 1 species
CCCUUAGAUGUUCUGGGCGGCCCGCGCACUACAAUGGCGUGUGCAGCGAGUGCCGAAGUAGAGUUUUCCGAGGUAUUCUUGCAAUGCUCGUUUUGAUGGGGAUAGACCCUUGCAACUGUUGGUUUUGAACGAGGAAUUCCUUGUAAGCAUGGUUUAUCAUCCGACGCUGAAUGCGUCCCUGCCCUUUGUACACACCGCCCGUCGCUCCUACCGAUGAGUCGUCCGGUGAAGUUCGUAGACCUCGUGAUCGCGGAUCACUGGGGGAAGCAAAAUGAACCUCGCGGUUUAGAGGAAGGAGAAGCCGUAACA